UCAGAGAUCUCAACUCUCAGUUCUAUCCUAUGCUUCUAGCCACUAGACUCAAUCUAACAUAAGAGAACAGAUCAGACUUACAAUCUUUUUCUAUUCAUUACAGUAACUCUGGAGCAAAUGGAAAGAAAAUGUUCCCAUUCUUCCCUUUUUAUUCCUCUCUUAUUUUUCCUGCCCUUUCCUUCCCUCUUGGAUUGGCUGAGUGUGAAGGGAGAAGGGGAAUAUGAAUGGAUCCACACAGAUGUCUUCUGCUCUAAAGAGAAGCCCACACAGGGUGUAUCCUGGGGUAUUACUGAUUAGGAGAUAUUGCUUCUGUUACUCUUAUUUUCUAUGCAAUACUUUAUUUUGAUUCUUAUUUUAAGUCCAAAUUCAGGAACACUUGGCUCUUGAUGGUUGAAAGACUUUCCCUGAACAGGCCUGCCAAGCUGACUGUCAAUGCAAAGGAUAAACACAAUACUGUUGUUUUUGUACAGUCACUCCCAGCUAUAUUCCUGUUGACAGGCAUCAAUGAACUCUUAAAAGCAUAACUGGCUAAUUCCACUAAUGUCAUUAUUAUUCUAACAGAACAAUGGAAAAGCAAAAGACUGAAAAUUGAUUUCAGUUUCAUUGUUUCUAGAUCAUUGCUGCUCUAAACUUGUAUCAGGAAAACUGAAGAGAAACUCACUGCAGGGUUACUUACAAAAGCAAGUACAUGGACACCUGACGCAGUUGAUCUGAAAGCUGAGCUCUAGCAAAAACCCUUUGUGGUGUUUUAGUGCCGCAUUUCACCCUAAGCGAAGAAUGCAAAAAUCAUCAACAUCCCAAGCAAAAGAGGCAAAGCACUGGGAUAUCUCAUGAACAAACACUAACACUGCAUUUUUGGCAAGGAACGAAUCUUGAAGACAGGAAGUGAUAAAAACGGCUAGAAAUAUAAAUGGUAUCUCAAGAACAUGAAACAACUGGCCAAAUUCUCCUCACACUGGUUUUGUGCUGGUGUAACUCCUGUCUUCACUUGUGUUACUCCUCAUUACCGUGAUAAAAAUGACCUCAACUGGAUGCCAGAUGGCCAAGUUGCUUUCAGUGUCUAGUAGACAAAUAUCUCUAUUCCACAAUCUGAUCUCGACCACCGUAAUAUCUCCAAUUCUACAUCUCCUUACAGCAUUUAAACUAUGAUUUCCAAAUCCAUCUCCAUGAGUUUCAUUGUGUAUCUUCUCCUGACCUGCUUUUAAGCAGCCAUUGUUUUUCACUACUGUCUUUUUACCCUCGUAAAUAUUAAAAGCCAGUUAUAUCAGGAUUGCUAGC